GGACUUUCAGGCCUCAUGUCCUGAUGAUGAGUUAAAUUUCAGAAGUUAGUUGAGAAAGAGUGAAUCUAUGAUUUUGUUGUUGAGUUGAAUGUGGAAUAUGAUAAAAUUAGGGUCCAAGUGCUUGGGUAGAAUCCUUUACCUACCUUAAGGCAGACAUGCUCUUAUGUUCAGCAGGAAGAGAGUUGGAGGAGUGCCAUGAUUCAUUUUAUGUUUGUUGAUAAGGCUGGGCUAGUUGCUAAUUCCUCAUGUAAACAAUCACAUGGUUCAUCAGAUA
rnacentral:misc_RNA from 1 species